rnacentral:rRNA from 1 species
UACGAAGGGGGCUAGCGUUGCUCGGAAUCACGUGGGCGUAAAGGGUGCGUAGGCGGGUCUUUAAGUCAGGGGUGAAAUCCCAGAGCUCAACUCUGGAACUGCCUUUGAUACUGGGUAUCUUGAGUAUGGAAGAGGUAAGUGGAAUUGCGAGUGUAGAGGUGAAAUUCGUAGAUAUUCGCAGGAACACCAGUGGCGAAGGCGGACUUACUGGUCCAUAACUGACGCUGAGGUGCGAAAGCGUGGGGAGCAAACAGGGAUUAAGAAACCC